CGGCCGCGUCGACGGCAGAGGGAAUUCCUGGUGUAGCGGUGAAAUGCGUAGAGAUCAGGAAGAACAUCGGUGGCGAAGGCGCUCUGCUGGACCAUAACUGACACUCAGGGACGAAAGCUAGGGGAGCGAAUGGGAUUAGAUACCCCAGUAGUCCUAGCCGUAAACGAUGGAUACUAGGUGUUGUCUGUAUCGACCCGGACAGUGCCGUAGCUAACGCGUUAAGUAUCCCGCCUGGGGAGUACGCACGCAAGUGUGAAACUCAAAGGAAUUGACGGGGGCCCGCACAAGCGGUGGAGUAUGUGGUUUAAUUCGAAGCAACGCGAAGAACCUUACCAGGUCUUGACAUCCCGCUGCCCGCCUUAGAGAUAAGGCUUUCCCUUCGGGGACAGCGGUGACAGGUGUGCAUGGUUGUCGUCAGCUCGUGUCGUGAGAUGUUGGGUUAAAUCCCGCAACGAGCGCAACCCUUGAUCUUAGUUGCCAGCAUUCAGUUGGGCACUCUAAGGUGACUGCCGGUGACAAACCGGAGGAAGGUGGGGAUGUAACCG
rnacentral:rRNA from 1 species